rnacentral:rRNA from 1 species
CCAGCCAUGCCGCGUGUGUGAAGAAGGUCUUCGGAUUGGAAAGCAGUUUUUGUUGGGAGGAAGGGUAGUAACUUAGUACGUUGCUGCUUUGACGUUACCGACAGAAUACGCACCGGCUAACUCUGUGCCCGCCGCCGCGGUAAUACAA